GACGAACGCUGGCGGCGUGCUUAACACAUGCAAGUCGAACGCUGAAGCUCAGCUUUUGUUGGGUGGAUGAGUGGCGAACGGGUGAGUAACACGUGAGUAACCUGCCUCCUUCUUUGGGAUAACGCCCGGAAACGGGUGCUAAUACUGGAUAUUCACUGGUCUUCGCAUGGGGGUUGGUGGAAAGGGUUUUUCUGGUGGGGGAUGGGCUCGCGGCCUAUCAGCUUGUUGGUGGGGUGAUGGCCUACCAAGGCUUUGACGGGUAGCCGGCCUGAGAGGGUGACCGGUCACAUUGGGACUGAGAUACGGCCCAGACUCCUACGGGAGGCAGCAGUGGGGAAUAUUGCGCAAUGGGCGCAAGCCUGAUGCAGCGACGCCGCGUGAGGGAUGGAGGCCUUCGGGUUGUGAACCUCUUUCGCUCAUGGUCAAGCCGCAACAAUGGUUGUGGUGAGGGUAGUGGGUAAAGAAGCGCCGGCUAACUACGUG
rnacentral:rRNA from 1 species